UUGUCCUCCCGGGUCAAAAUUGACCCACGGACAACAGGAGGGUUAAAACAUGUCUGCAUAGGAUCUUUAAGUAAGAGAUGUCAGUAUUUCUUCCACUGCUGCCUGCUGGCUGAGUUUGCAGCUGAUAAAAGGACAAAAGACUGAAACACAUCAGUAACUAAACAACGUAGCAAACUGUCUCUAGAUUAGUAUAUAAUUCACUUUCUUCAUGUGCUUAUAGAUCUGUUUGUGUUGCCUUUGUUUUGUCAUUUCAAUGAGUAAUUUAAAACUUUACGGAUCCUAAUUAAGAGCGAGUUGAAUCCGUUUCAGUCUUUGCGUUUCAUAAAGAACAAAUCAGUUUGCGAACGCUACGAGACAAAUUCUAACGGGAGAGAAAAGUAAGAAAAGAAUAAGUGCUGUUAAACUGCUGUUAAGCAGCAGCUCGUGUUUCACUCAGCGGCUCUCAGCUCCGAUGUGGAUCUAAUCUAUCUCUUCCUCCUGUGAUGUCCAUUUCCUGCGAGCACUCAGAGCCUCGCCGUCUAUCGGUUUUAUUCUCUCCUGAGCUUUUCUGGUACACUGAAGGCCUCGUCAGUCUCUGCCCGCUGUGCAUCAGCACUGAUGCAGAACAUUAGUGCACUUAGACACAUUAACUUAUUGAUGAUGACUGAAUAAGACUGUAGCGUCUGCUGAGUGGAGUCUUAUCAGUUCAUCCUGAUAAAAAUGAACUAAUUAUACUGAUUCUAUUUCAAGUUCAGUAUAUAUAUAAGAUUUGCACUGGUACCUCAUGAUCCAGGAAAUAGCCGCAGCCUCCGACUCACUGCUUAUUCAGCAUUUAUAUGUCACCAAACUAACCGCCAAUGAUCAAUAUGGAAGCAUUAAAACCUUUAACUGCUGUUCAGCAUUACAAACCUGUAAACUCAACCUGCUACCUGGUACAGACUUACUGUCCUUCACACUUCUUGUACAUGCUGAACAGCUGCCGGUCUAUUGGCUAUUAGACCCCAUCAUGAUGUCGCUGGAUAUGAAAGGGGGGAGGUGAGUGUGAGAGUAGUAUAGGAUAACCCCCCCCCACCCCCCCGAUGGAGUCUAGACACUGGUGAUGGUGAUGAAGAGGCGUAGAUCUUGGUGGUGUGGUAGCGGCUUCUGGUGAACUCGGGCCUGGUGCUGAAGUAAUGGAGUGGAGAAGAUGUUGAUCUGGGAUGAGGAGGAUGGAACUUCUGGGAUGCGGCCGUGGAGGUGGAUGGAUGGGGUGGAGCUGACAGCGACAAAGAGGGAAACGGAUUUUAAAGUUUGACAGGUGAGCCGUGAUUGGUGGUUAGAAAUCGUGGAGCAAUCUGAUUUGAUAACUAGGAGCGACGCCCCUAAACAGCUGAUGCGAAAGUGAGAAGAGCGGGGGAAGAAAGAGAGGAAGAGGAGAGGGAAAUGAAGCUUCAUAUGUGUUAAGACAAAGUCAGUAACAAAUGAAAUGCAUCAAACAUAAAGGCAUUUACUUUAACACUUAUCUUUAAAUAGCAGAUUCAUCAUAACUAAUACUAAUUUUUAAAGAGCUUUAAACUUAUAACCAGUCUGCUGGAGUAAAAGCUGCUCUGCUACAUCGUCUCUAUCUUCCAUAUGAAGUUAGUGGAAAUAAAAGGUUCUAUAUAAAUAGUCCAACAUUACUCAGCUGUGACAUUGUGGAUCUGUGUAUGUACACAUGGUAUAUAAUCGCUAUAACCACUGUCAGCCUGUUUCCUGUCCAUAUUUUUCCAUUUUAACUCUCUGAGAGUGAAGCUGUCUCUGCUGUAGACGUGGACGCUGCAGGAGGUCGUUGGCGUCUAUAAAAGGACAUCGAUUCUGUACCCAGUUCAUUACCGUUCAAUGGAACAAAUCAACUGAGUAAUGUAGUGAACUCUGAAGCAGCUUCUGACUGCCAUGACUCAUUUUUUAGGAAAUUUUCCAUCUGAACUGAUGUUCGGUGUUCGGUGAGGACAUAUUUUAUGAAGAAGUGAUGUAAUUUACUUUUUUUCCAUUUCCUGCCUCUUGACCUCCUCCAGAGAUGAGAUGUAAUGUGUUGUUGUCAGCUGCUGGUUGCAUCUCUGAGUUAAGAGGAAAAUCGUUUUUCUAGUUUAGAGAAUGUGAAUCACACAAAUACUGUGUUUUAUCUUUUCCUGAUGCAGCAGUGCAUUCUGGUCCGUUUCCUGCUUGUUUGGGUGUUGAAGAAUUUCCUCUAAUGGAUUUCUGUCUCUAUGAUUGUUGGUUAAAAAUGGCAGAAAGAAGCUCUUUGUCUUCAAUUUGAAAGUUUGAAAGGAGGUUAUUUUCUUUUGUUUUUCCAAACCCAUCAGGUUGCAGGUAAUAGUUGAUGUUUUUCAUGAUGAUGGGAGACGUUGAUUUAAGACUUUAUUCAAACAUCGGUUUGUGCAGAUCUGAACUCAGCAGUCGUACUCGGACCAAAGUGCUCUCAGUCUGCUUACAUACAGAUUCUGGGGCAGUUUGCUUGUGGUGGAAACGUGAUCCGACCUCCAUCUGACCGACUACAAAGCUGCAAGCAGGAGCGCUUUGCAUGCAGAUAGCUGGAGAAUGAAUGGAGGUUCAACCUGGAAUAACAACUAAAUCAUUAUGGACGGCGAUUAGAUGGACCAUGAUAAGAAAAAGCUUUUAACGCGUCUAAACACGGCAGAAGAUCAUUUCAGCUGUUCAGACGGGCGACAGUCUCCGUCUGAAAGGAGCGAAGGAGGAGAAGAGAAGCAGAAGAGAUAAUAGAUGUGAAACAGCGGCUGAGGGAGAAAAUAAAGAAGAAGAACUGACAAAGGACAAAGCUUUCUAAUAAUAACAGUAAAUAUAAAAGCUGCAUCAUAUUCACAAUAGAGAAACACUGGAGGAGACUGUCUGCAAAUGAGGGUCAGAAAACAAAAACUGUUGGUUUUUGUGGUGAUAAAAAACCUUUCAAAUGUUUUUACCUUCUGCAAAUGUACGUCAUUUAUCAACUAAUUUAAGCUCUGCUACUCCACAAAUCUUUUAUUCUGGGAAGUUUUUAAACUAAUAAAAUCACCCUUGUUUCAA